rnacentral:lncRNA from 1 species
CCAGAAUCAGGCUGCAAAUGCCAAAGCAAGAGAUGUCAGCAAUGAGUUGCAGGUCUUUGCCAAACAGAGCAUCAUCUGGCAGUGAAAGGAGAGCAGAAGAGGGGAUUUUGAAGUCUUCCUGCACACUUCUGACAACUUGAUUGAACUGGAUGCCAUUGGAAGUUCAUGACGUCGCCCAUAACAGAGUCUGUGUAGGCAAAACCCCAGCCUAUGCUGGAAUUUAACUUUUAAAAAGCAACCUAAGUAGAAACACAAGAUUGUAAACUCUAAGGAGAUUCUAACACCAAAAGAAAGUAUGACUUGAGCCAAUGAAAUGCCAAAAUCCAGUUCUAGCUGACGUCAGUAGCGGAGGACAGACGUCCACUUGCCAUUUGAGGGAAAAGCAUGUGGAUUCAUGAGUGUAACAGCAGCUACCCCACUACCAAUUACCAAAUCCUGUGCACAUUCCUGUUCUCCAGUCACCUUUUCUCCAUAAAUGUUUGUUGUAUAAAAUUAAAACCUUUCCAAAUAUUAACAAGUAAA